UACAUUAUGGUGUAAAAGCAUAAAAGAUUUUGAUUCUUUAGGAAUAUAUAAUUUAUUUAAUGUAA
rnacentral:tRNA from 2 species